rnacentral:tRNA from 1 species
UCCCUGGUAGUAUAUCGGUUAGUACACGCGCCUGUCAUAAAACUGCUUCUAGUAGUACGCGCGAAAGCUGGGUUCGACUCCCAGCCAGGGAG